rnacentral:pre_miRNA from 1 species
CAAGUACUCCCUCCGCCCGGAAUUACUUGUCAUCAAAAUGGAUGUGUCUAGAACUAAAAUACAUCUAGAUACAUCCAUUUCAAUGACAAGUAUUUUCGGACGGACGGAGUACAAG